rnacentral:tRNA from 1 species
GCCACCGUCGCAUAACCUGGUAGUGCGCAGGUCUUGAAAACCUGUUCCUUCGGGAAUUCCCAGUUCAAACGGUCAGUAACAGAGCAUUACGCCUGAAUGUCUGGGCGGUGGCG